rnacentral:rRNA from 1 species
GGGGGCUAGCGUUGCUCGGAAUCACUGGGCGUAAAGCGCGCGUAGGCGGCUUGUUAAGUCAGGGGUGAAAUCCUGGAGCUCAACUCCAGAACUGCCUUUGAUACUGGCGAUCUUGAGUUCGGGAGAGGUGAGUGGAACUGCGAGUGUAGAGGUGAAAUUCGUAGAUAUUCGCAAGAACACCAGUGGCGAAGGCGGCUCACUGGCCCGAUACUGACGCUGAGGUGCGAAAGCUAGGGGAGCAAACGGG